rnacentral:rRNA from 1 species
AGCGAACGCUGGCGGCAGGCCUAACACAUGCAAGUCGAGCGCCCAGCAAUGGGAGCGGCAGACGGGUGAGUAACGCGUGGGGAUCUGCCCAAUGGUACGGAAUAACCCAGGGAAACUUGGAUUAAUACCGUAUGUGCCCUUCGGGGAAAGAUUUAUCGCCAUUGGAUGAACCCGCGUCGGAUUAGCUAGUUGGUGAGGUAAAGGCUCACCAAGGCGACGAUCCGUAGCUGGUCUGAGAGGAUGAUCAGCCACACUGGGACUGAGACACGGCCCAGACUCCUACGGGAGGCAGCAGAGGGGAAUAUUGGACAAUGGGCGCAAGCCUGAUCCAGCCAUGCCGCGUGAGUGAUGAAGGCCUUAGGGUUGUAAAGCUCUUUCGCCGGUGAAGAUAAUGACGGUAACCGGAGAAGAAGCCCCGGCUAACUUCGUGCCAGCAGCCGCCGUAACAC